rnacentral:rRNA from 1 species
GGCCUUGACAUACUAAGAACUUUCCAGAGAUGGAUUGGUGCCUUCGGGAACUUAGAUACAGGUGCUGCAUGGCUGUCGUCAGCUCGUGUCGUGAGAUGUUGGGUUAAGUCCCGNAACGAGCGCAACCCUUUUCCUUAUUUGCCAGCGGGUCAUGCCGGGAACUUUAAGGAUACUGCCAGUGACAAACUGGAGGAAGGCGGGGACGACGUCAGGUCAUCAUGGCCCUUACGGCCAGGGCUACACACGUGCUACAAUGGUCGGUACAAAGGGUUGCUACCUCGCGAGAGGAUGCUAAUCUCAAAAAGCCGAUCGUAGUCCGGAUCGCAGUCUGCAACUCGACUGCGUGAAGUCGGAAUCGCUAGUAAUCGCGGAUCAGAAUGCCGCGGUGAAUACGUUCCCGGGCCUUGUACACACCGCCCGUCACACCAUGGGAGUUUGUUGCACCAGAAGUAGGUAGUCUAACCGCAAGGAGGACGCUUACCACGGUGUGGCCGAUGACUGGGGUGAAGUCGUAACAAGGUAGGCGUAGAUGA